UUGCGGUUCUCAUUUCCUUCCCGUAAAGCACUGGGAAGACUUCCAGAGGCCAUGGACUCCCCGGCUGCUGUCCCUGGCGGUGGUAGAGGGGGUAGUAGACUCGCCUGGCAUCUCUAAGCCCAGGACCAGCCGGCCACCCUCCAUGCCUCAGGAUCACAGGACAGAAGGACCACACCAAGGUGUUGCACUAGUGUUGAAUGUAAGCAGCACUCGCCUACUGAACAAAAACAAACGCUCAUCAGAACACCCUGCAGAUUUCAGCAUACAAUAAACCAUCAGUAACAAC